AUUGAACGCUGGCGGCAUGCCUUACACAUGCAAGUCGAACGGCAGCGCGGACUUCGGUCUGGCGGCGAGUGGCGAACGGGUGAGUAAUAUAUCGGAACGUACCCAGGAGUGGGGGAUAACGUAGCGAAAGUUACGCUAAUACCGCAUACGUCCUAAGGGAGAAAGCAGGGGAUCGCAAGACCUUGUGCUCAUGGAGCGGCCGAUAUCUGAUUAGCUAGUUGGUGGGGUAAAAGCCUACCAAGGCAACGAUCAGUAGCUGGUCUGAGAGGACGACCAGCCACACUGGAACUGAGACACGGUCCAGACUCCUACGGGAGGCAGCAGUGGGGAAUUUUGGACAAUGGGGGCAACCCUGAUCCAGCAAUGCCGCGUGAGUGAAGAAGGCCCUCGGGUUGUAAAGCUCUUUUGUCAGGGAAGAAAAGGUUGUGGCUAAUAUCCACGACUCAUGACGGUACCUGAAGAUAAGCACCGGCUAACUACGUGCCAGCAGCC
rnacentral:rRNA from 1 species